rnacentral:rRNA from 1 species
AUUGAACGCUGGCGGCAGGCCUAACACAUGCAAGUCGAACGGUAACAGGAAGAAGCUUGCUUCUUUGCUGACGAGCGGCGGACGGGUGAGUAAUGUCUGGGAAACUGCCUGAUGGAGGGGGAUAACUACUGGAAACGGUAGCUAAUACCGCAUAACGUCGCAAGACCAAAGAGGGGGACCUUCGGGCCUCUUGCCAUCGGAUGUGCCCAGAUGGGAUUAGCUAGUAGGUGGGGUAACGGCUCACCUCGGCGACGAUCCCUAGCUGGUCUGAGAGGAUGACCAGCCACACUGGAACUGAGACACGGUCCAGACUCCUACGGGAGGCAGCAGUGGGGAAUAUUGCACAAUGGGCGCAAGCCUGAUGCAGCCAUGCCGCGUGUAUGAAGAAGGCCUUCGGGUUGUAAAGUACUUUUAGCGGGGAGGAAGGGAGUAAAGUUAAUACCUCUGCUCAUUGACGUUACCCGCAGAAGAAGCACCGGCUAACUCCGUG